GUCUCCCUCCGCCCCUCGUACGUAGGUUCAGGAGGUCCAGGCGCUCCGCCCAAAGCGGGACACCGAGACUGGGAGCCACCUCGAGUGAUCAGGUGCCUGAGCGCCGCAUUCUUGCCGCAAUCGCACAGCUAAUUUAGUCGUUCCCAGAGGGCGGGGUUGUGGGACUUCACAGCCAGGACCCGCUGGGAAGAGGCCCCAGAAGAUGCUCUGGGAGAAUCGUCUCAGUCUCUAGGCUGGCUCAGGGCAACUGCGAGGCUAUGACUUUUAUUAAUAGCAAUAGCGAUCGAUCGUUUGAGAACUUUGGUACCGGUAUGGGUGUCUCACCCUAUUAGAAGGUUCUAUGGAGCAUGGCGAGAAGCAGGAAGCUCAGAGACCAGGCAGAGAAAAGUGAACUCACUCCCAGCACCAGGGCUGUGCUGAAUUAAAAACCGAAGACCCCGGCUUUACCUACACAACCCUGAGCAAUGCGGACACCCACAAAAGCAAGCAGGAAGCAAACUUGUGGGCCUUUCAGUUUUGAUGAGCUGUGGUGGGUUAUUUCAUUUCAGGCUAGAUAUUUUCUGUAAGACUCUCAGAGGUUUAUUUACAGCAGGUCCUCCAGUGUUAAAGGUCAUCACAACAGCAAAAAGCAAUGGUACCCUAAAUGCAAUUUGUGCCCUUGGCUGAGCGGCUCCCACGUCUCAGUCCCACUAGGAGGCUACUUUGGGCAAUGCACACACAUUGCCUGGCUGUGCUUCAAUUCUGCAAACAAUUGACUGGGACUUCGGCAUUCAGGGUGAUCUAAUGGGAGCCUGUAGGGGCUUCUGAAAAGGAAGUGCAUAAUUUGGCAGGAGCUGGCAAAAUUAGAAGUUUCCACUGAAAACAAUUAAAGUCACCAUCAAUAUACUGCGUAGACUUCUAUCAACAAUGAUCAGCUUAUUUCUGGUGUCUCUUUUCUCCAGCUGCAACUCUACUCCUUGAAAAGAAUAAACCAAAAAGAAAAAAAAGAAAAAAGAAAAAAAAAGACCCCACAAUAUCAACAAUAAAACAUUAAAGAAGUGACAUUAUGUACAUAAAUACUGAGUAUGAACUGUAAAUAAAAGACAAACCUUCUAGGAAAAUGAGGGGAAAAAACAAC